rnacentral:rRNA from 1 species
GGAAUCUUUCACAAUGGGCGAAAGCCUGAUGGAGCAACGCCGCGUGCAGGAUGAAGGCCUUCGGGUUGUAAACUGCUUUUAUAUCCGAGAAAUAUGAUGGUAAGAUAUGAAUAAGGAUCGGCUAACUACGUGCCAGCAGCCGCGGUCAUACGUAGGAUCCGAGCAUUAUCCGGAGUGACUGGGUGUAAAGAGUUGCGUAGGUGGCAUAGUAAGUAGGCAGUGAAAUCUGGUGGCUCAACCAUUCAGACUAUUGCCUAAACUGCUAAGCUCGAGACUGUUAGGGGUAGCUGGAAUUUCUAGUGUAGGAGUGAAAUCCGUAGAUAUUAGAAAGAACACCGAUAGCGUAGGCAGGCUACUGGGACAGUUCUGACACUAAGGCACGAAAGCGUAGGUAGCAAACG